AGUCGAACGAUAGCACAGGGGAGCUUGCUCCUUGGGUGACGAGUGGCGGACGGGUGAGUAAUGUCUGGGGAUCUGCCCGAUGGAGGGGGAUAACUACUGGAAACGGUAGCUAAUACCGCAUAACCUCGAAAGAGCAAAGUGGGGGACCUUCGGGCCUCACACCAUCGGAUGAACCCAGAUGGGAUUAGCUAGUAGGUGGGGUAACGGCUCACCUAGGCGACGAUCCCUAGCUGGUCUGAGAGGAUGACCAGCCACACUGGAACUGAGACACGGUCCAGACUCCUACGGGAGGCAGCAGUGGGGAAUAUUGCACAAUGGGCGCAAGCCUGAUGCAGCCAUGCCGCGUGUAUGAAGAAGGCCUUCGGGUUGUAAAGUACUUUCAGCGGGGAGGAAGGGAUGAAGGUUAAUAACCUUCGUCAUUGACGUUACCCGCAGAAGAAGCACCGGCUAACUCCGUGCCAGCAGCCGCGGUAAUACGGAGGGUGCAAGCGUUAAUCGGAAUUACUGGGCGUAAAGCGCACGCAGGCGGUUUGUUAAGUCAGAUGUGAAAUCCCCGGGCUCAACCUGGGAACUGCAUUUGAAACUGGCAAGCUUGAGUCUCGUAGAGGGGGGUAGAAUUCCAGGUGUAGCGGUGAAAUGCGUAGAGAUCUGGAGGAAUACCGGUGGCGAAGGCGGCCCCCUGGACGAAGACUGACGCUCAGGUGCGAAAGCGUG
rnacentral:rRNA from 1 species